rnacentral:rRNA from 1 species
AAAAACAUUUCUUCUUAGUUUAAGAAGUAAGGCCUGCUCMCUGAAAAUUUAAAGAGCCGCAGUAUCCUGACUGUGCUAAGGUAGCAUAAUCAUUAGUCUUUUAAUUGAAGGCUGGUAUGAAUGGCUUAACGAGAGAUUGACUUUUUUUGUUAUAUUAAUUGAAAUUAAUUUUUUAGUGAAAAAGCUAAAAUUUUUCAGAAAGACGAGAAGACCCUAUAGAGUUUUAUGUUUAGUUUUAUUUUUUAUCAUUAGAUUUUUAAAGAGAUAAUAUUAUCAAACAUUUUGUUGGGGCGACAUUAAGAUAUAAAAAACUCUUAUUUUUUUAAAUUUUAUUAAAAAUAAUUGUUGAUCCUUUAAAAAAGAUCAUAAGAAAAAAUUACCUUAGGGAUAACAGCGUAAUCUUUUUUGAGAGUUCUAAUCGACAAAAAGGUUUGCGACCUCGAUGUUGGACUAAAAUUUAGGCAAAGUGCAGCUGCUUUGUUUUAAGGUCUGUUCGACCUAUAAUA